GUCAGCCAGAAGGAGUGUCGCCUGGCACAGUCGUUUAGCCAGUACAGAAUUAGCCGAGGCCAAUUCAUCGACGGGCACUUGGAGGUCGAAGUGCACCGCAUGGCCCUCUGAUGCUGCAUCAUCUACCGACGCCACUGGAGCUUUCCCCCGAUCUGUUAUCGACGGUCCCAUAUUUGAAAGUGAGGGGAAGUUGAAUUUGACUGCACCCCAAC
rnacentral:lncRNA from 1 species